UACGGAGGAUGCGAGCGUUAUCCGGAUUUAUUGGGUUUAAAGGGUGCGUAGGCGGACGCUUAAGUCAGCGGUAUAAUUGCGGGGCUCAACCUCGUCGAGCCGUUGAAACUGGGUGCCUUGAGUGGGCGAGAAGUACGCGGAAUGCGUGGUGUAGCGGUGAAAUGCAUAGAUAUCACGCAGAACUCCGAUUGCGAAGGCAGCGUACCGGCGCCCAACUGACGCUGAAGCACGAAGGCGUGGGUAUCGAACAGG
rnacentral:rRNA from 1 species